UUGCUACCAUUUUAGUUAAUAGUUUAGGUAAAAAGCCAAAAUCAAACAAAUAAUAAAGAACCCUAAACCUUAAAUAAUAAUUACAAAUAAAAAAUUACCUUUAAAACAAAAUUUGUUGUUGCCUCCUCUCCUUCCAAAAUCACUAAAUCAAACAAAUAAUAAGUAGCACAAAACCCUAAACAAGUAAAUAACAAUUACAAAAAAAAAUACCUUUAAAAUAAAAAUUUUUGUUGCCUCCUCUCUUCCCAAAACCUCAAAAUAAAACACUAAUAAGUAAACUAAAACCUUAAACAAAUAAAUAAUGAUUAAAAAAAUUACCUUUCAAAACAACCCUCUACCGCCUCUCCCCUUUCAGCACACUAAAACCCUCUUAUAUUCUCUUCUCCCUUCUUUCU
rnacentral:lncRNA from 1 species